rnacentral:rRNA from 1 species
UACGUAGGGGGCCUAGCGUUGUCCGGAUUUAUUGGGCGUAAAGAGCUCGUAGGCGGUUUGGUAAGUCGGGUGUGAAAUCUCCACGCUCAACGUGGAGGGGCCACCCGAUACUGCCAUGACUGGAGUCCGGUAGGGGAGUGUGGAAUUCCCGGUGUAGCGGUGAAAUGCGCAGAUAUCGGGAGGAACACCAGUAGCGAAGGCGGGUCUCUGGGCCGAUACUGACGCUGAGGAGCGAAAGCGUGGGGAGCGAACAGG